rnacentral:tRNA from 1 species
GCAGCUCAGUGGUAGAACAUCUGCUUGGUAUGCAGGAGGGUUCAAUCCCCGACAUCUCCA